UGGGGAAUAUUGGACAAUGGGCGAAAGCCUGAUCCAGCCAUGCCGCGUGUGUGAAGAAGGUCUUCGGAUUGUAUAGCACUUUAAGUUGGGAGGAAGGGCAGUAAGCGAAUACCUUGCUGUUUUGACGUUACCGACAGAAUAAGCACCGGCUAACUCUGUGCCAGCAGCCGCGGUAAUACAGAGGGUGCAAGCGUUAAUCGGAAUUACUGGGCGUAAAGCGCGCGUAGGUGGUUCGUUAAGUUGAAUGUGAAAGCCCCGGGCUCAACCUGGGAACUGCAUCCAAAACUGGCGAGCUAGAGUAGGGCAGAGGGUGGUGGAAUUUCCUGUGUAGCGGUGAAAUGCGUAGAUAUAGGAAGGAACACCAGUGGCGAAGGCGACCACCUGGGCUCAUACUGACACUGAGGUGCGAAAGCGUGGGGAGCAAACAGG
rnacentral:rRNA from 1 species